CCUACGGGGUGCACCAGUGGGGAAUAUUGCACAAUGGGCGCAAGCCUGAUGCAGCCAUGCCGCGUGUGUGAAGAAGGCCUUCGGGUUGUAAAGCACUUUCAGCGGGGAGGAAGGCGUUAAGGUUAAUAACCUUGGCGAUUGACGUUACCCGCAGAAGAAGCACCGGCUAACUCCGUGCCAGCAGCCGCGGUAAUACGGAGGGUGCAAGCGUUAAUCGGAAUUACUGGGCGUAAAGCGCACGCAGGCGGUCUGUCAAGUCGGAUGUGAAAUCCCCGGGCUCAACCUGGGAGCUGCAUUCGAAACUGGCAGGCUAGAGUCUUGUAGAGGGGGGUAGAAUUCCAGGUGUAGCGGUGAAAUGCGUAAAGAUCUGGAGGAAUACCGGUGGCGAAGGCGGCCCCCUGGACAAAGACUGACGCUCAGGUGCGAAAGCGUGGGGAGUAAACAGGAUUAGAUACCCGCGUAGUC
rnacentral:rRNA from 1 species